rnacentral:rRNA from 1 species
AACGAACGCUGGCGGCAUGCCUAACACAUGCAAGUCGAACGAGACCUUCGGGUCUAGUGGCGCACGGGUGCGUAACGCGUGGGAACCUGCCCUUAGGUUCGGAAUAACUCCCCGAAAGGGGUGCUAAUACCGGAUAAUGUCUUCGGACCAAAGAUUUAUCGCCUUUGGAUGGGCCCGCGUUGGAUUAGCUAGUUGGUAGGGUAAAAGCCUACCAAGGCGACGAUCCAUAGCUGGUCUGAGAGGAUGAUCAGCCACACUGGGACUGAGACACGGCCCAGACUCCUACGGGAGGGAGCAGUGGGGAAUAUUGGACGAUGGGCGAAAGUCUGAUCCAGCAAUGCCGCGUGAGUGAUGAAGGCCUUAGGGUUGUAAAGCUCUUUUACCCGGGAUGAUAAUGACAGUACCGGGAGAAUAAGCUCCGGCUAACUCCGUG